GACGAACGCUGGCGGCGUGCUUAACACAUGCAAGUCGAACGGAAAGGCCCUGCUUUUGUGGGGUGCUCGAGUGGCGAACGGGUGAGUAACACGUGAGUAACCUGCCCUUGACUUUGGGAUAACUUCAGGAAACUGGGGCUAAUACCGGAUAGGAGCUCCUGCUGCAUGGUGGGGGUUGGAAAGUUUCGGCGGUUGGGGAUGGACUCGCGGCUUAUCAGCUUGUUGGUGGGGUAGUGGCUUACCAAGGCUUUGACGGGUAGCCGGCCUGAGAGGGUGACCGGCCACAUUGGGACUGAGAGACGGACCAGACUGCUACGGGAGGCAGCAGUGGGGAAUAUUGCACAAUGGGCGGAAGCCUGAUGAAGCAACGCCGCGUGCGGGAUGACGGCCUUCGGGUUGUAAACCGCUUUCGCCUGUGACGAAGCGUGAGUGACGGUAAUGGGUAAAGAAGCACCGGCUAACUACGUG
rnacentral:rRNA from 1 species